rnacentral:rRNA from 1 species
UACGAGGGGGGCGAGCGUUGUUCGGAAUUAUUGGGCGUAAAGGGUGCGUAGGCGGUUUUGUAAGUCUUAUGUGAAAUCUACAGGCUCAACUUGUAGUCUGCAUGAGAAACUGCAGGGCUUGAGUAUGGGAGAGGUGAGUGGAAUUCCUGGUGUAGCGGUGAAAUGCGUAGAUAUCAGGAGGAACACCUGUGGCGAAAAGCGGCUCACUGGACCAUAACUGACGCUGGAUGCACGAAAAGCUAGGGGGAGCAAACAGG